GCGGAUGUGGUGUAAAGGUUAACACUUUAGCCUUCCAAGCUAAUUAUGAGGGUUCAAGUCCCUUCAUCCGUU
rnacentral:tRNA from 2 species